rnacentral:rRNA from 1 species
CUAGUUGGUGAGGUAACGGCCCACCAAGGCGUCGAUCGGUAGCUGGUCUGAGAGGAUGAUCAGCCAGACUGGGACUGUGACACGGCCCAGACUCCUACGGGAGGCAGCAGUUAGGAAUCUUGGGCAAUGGGCGAAAGCCUGACCCAGCAACGCCGCGUGGGUGACGAAGGCCUUCGGGUCGUAAAGCCCUUUUCCAGGGGAAGAUGAUGACGGUACCUUGGGAAUAAGCCCCGGCUAACUACGUGCCAGCAGCCGCGGUAAUACGUAGGGGGCGAGCGUUGUCCGGAUUUAUUGGGCGUAAAACGCUUGUAGGUGGCUACGUCAAGUCGGACGUGAAAUCUCCCGGCUUAACUGGGAGGGGUCGCUCGAUACUGGCGAGCUCGAGGCAGGUAGGGGGAAGCGGAAUUCCCGGUGUAGUGGUGGAAUGCGUAGAUAUCGGGAGGAACACCAGUGGCGAAGGCGGCUUCCUGGACCUGUUCUGACACUGAGGAGCGAAAGCGUGGGGAGCGAUCCGGAUUAGAUACCCGGGUAGUCCACGCCGUAAACGGUGAGCACUAGGUGUCGGGGGUAUCGACCCCUCCGGUGCCGCAGCUAACGCAUUAAGUGCUCUGCCUGGGGAGUACGGCCGCAAGGCUAAAACUCAAAGGAAUUGACG